rnacentral:rRNA from 1 species
CCUACGGGGUGCAGCAGUGGGGAAUAUUGCGCAAUGGGCGAAAGCCUGACGCAGCGACGCCGCGUGAGGGAUGAAGGUCUUCGGAUCGUAAACCUCUGUCAGCAGGGAAGAACGGUCACUGUGCUAAUCAGCAGUGAAUUGACGGUACCUGCAAAGGAAGCACCGGCUAACUCCGUGCCAGCAGCCGCGGUAAUACGGAGGGUGCUAGCGUGACUCGGAAUUACUGGGCGUAAAGCGCUCGUAGGCGGUAUGUCAAGUCAAGGGUGAAAGCCCCGCGCUCAACGUGGGAACUGCCUUUGAAACUGGCAAACUGGAGUAUGUGAGAGGAUAGUGGAAUUCCAGGUGUAGGAGUGAAAUCCGUAGAUAUCUGGAGGAACAUCAGUGGCGAAGGCGACUAUCUGGCACAUAACUGACGCUGAGGAGCGAAAGCGUGGGUAGCAAACAGGAUUAGAUACCCGGGUAGUC